rnacentral:rRNA from 1 species
AUGAAGACACCUUUUAAGAAUAGAAUCUUUGUGUGGUGUUUUUAUCGCGGAGUCAUUCUUACUAAAGAUAAUGUUAUUAAGAGGAAUUGGCAUGGAAGUGCAUAUUGUGUUUUUUGUCAACAUGAUGAAACAAUAAAACACUUGUUAUUCCAAUGCAAAUUGGUGGUCAGUUAUCCAAAUAGCUUCUGA